rnacentral:rRNA from 1 species
GACGAACGCUGGCGGCGUGCUUAACACAUGCAAGUCGAACGAAGUGGCGAACGGGUGCGUAACGCGUAAUCAACCUGCCCUUCAGAGGGGGACAACAGUUGGAAACGACUGCUAAUCCCGCAUACUGAAGGAGGGGAUUUCGUGUGAUUAGCUAGUUGGAGGGGUAACGGCCCACCAAGGCGAUGAUCAGUCGCCGGGCUGGUGAGAGGAACGGCCACAAUGGGACUGGUGCACGGCCCAGAAUCCUACGGGGGGGAGCAGUGGGGAAUCUUCCGAAAUGGACGAAAGUCUUGCGGAGCAACGCCGCGUGAGUGAUGAAGGGCUUCGGGUUGUAAAGCUCGGUUAAUCGGGACGCGGUACCGGAAUAGAAAGCAACGGCUAACUACGUGCCAGCAGCCGCGGUAAUAC